AUGAACGCUGGCGGCGUGCCUAAUACAUGCAAGUCGAGCGAACGGACGAGAAGCUUGCUUCUCUGAUGUUAGCGGCGGACGGGUGAGUAACACGUGGAUAACCUACCUAUAAGACUGGGAUAACUUCGGGAAACCGUAGCUAAUACCGGAUAAUAUUUUGAACCGCAUGGUUCAAAAGUGAAAGACGGUCUUGCUGUCACUUAUAGAUGGAUCCGCGCUGCAUUAGCUAGUUGGUAAGGUAACGGCUUACCAAGGCAACGAUGCAUAGCCGACCUGAGAGGGUGAUCGGCCACACUGGAACUGAGACACGGUCCAGACUCCUACGGGAGGCAGCAGUAGGAAAUCUUCCGCAAUGGGCGAAAGCCUGACGGAGCAACGCCGCGUGAGUGAUGAAGGUCUUCGGAUCGUAAAACUCUGUUAUUAGGGAAGAACAUAUGUGUAAGUAACUGUGCACAUCUUGACGGUACCUAAUCAGAAAGCCACGGCUAACUACGUG
rnacentral:rRNA from 1 species